UCUCGAUAGAUUUCGAAUCGCACUUCAGAUCGAUCGCCAUCAACUUGACUGCAAAGUCAUGUCAAUUCGCUAUGCGUUUCUCGCGAUUUCAAUCACGUUUGAACGUCAAUCCCGCGCGUCUAAAAAGUUGCGUCUUGAAUGUCCGUUGUGCUGAGCAUCGCACACGAACGUUAUAUUCUACGGCGAUGAUUUCAAUAUCGAUGACUGGCGAUGACGCUUUUUGUGUAGGUCUGGAAUUGAUCGAGGUUAAGGGCCUAAACACAAUGCCAGACAAUAGGAACAGAAAUAAUGAAAGAGAGGAAGGAUCUUCUUCCCUCUUUCUCUAUUUCUUUAUUUCCUGUUUCUAUUGCCUGUUGCCUGGCAUUGUGCGAUAGUCUUAUAUAAUUCUCUUUUUGUUCUCUUUUCUGGGUUUAGGAUACAAUUUUAUUAGUGAUCUGCGCUAGAUAUAUAGAUAUACUUUUUCAAUCUUUGAAAAUCUAAGAAUAAAGCGUAGAUCCCGAAUUUAUUAUAACCCAUAUACAUUUGUAUAAUUUUGAUGAUUAGAUCGCGUUUAACCUAUGUCGAUAAAUUCUCAUAACCGUAUAUGAUAAUGCAUCUAUAACGAUUGAGCAACGUUAGAGAAAGACAGACCCGCGAGAUGUCGCCAGUCGCCGCGAAGUUAAUCGCACAAAAGGCGCCAUUUGUAUUCGAGCGGAACGCGCACGGUAUCGAAAAGUCGUUUUUUCAUUAAUCGCGGUCACGGUAAUUAACGUGUUGCUAUCGGAAGGAGAGAAUUCCCGCGUUCCUCUAUGUUUUUAACUUGCAUACAAAAAACAAGUCGGAAGCGCAUCAGGACAAAGGACGAAAGACGAAAUCGGGCGUGGCUUGGGAUACGACGAAGUGGACUGUCUCGGAGCGAUAUGAUGCGUAGGGAUGCUUAAAAGUAUCGAUAUUCGACGCUCGCAAUAAUAUCGGGCAUCGAUUACUGUCCAGCACAUUUAGCUCGAUGUCCGAUACUUUUACAUUAACAAUUUAAGUAAAGGCAUAGAACAUAUCGGUACUUCUACGCGCUCUCGUGUGUGCGACGCCACAUAAUGAUGAAUUCUAACGUUCGGAAAGCCAUGAGAACGAUCAAAGCGCACGGAGACUCGCCGAUAUGCAUUAUGUGAGUGCCAGACUGCAAGGUGAAAAAAUAAAGAAAAAGAAAUAAAGAAGAAAAAAACAAGGAGAGGAGAUUCAUCAGGAUUCAGCGGAGCAAUGGAAUCAACGUAGUUAAUUAAUUCCGUUAUGCAUCGUAUCGGUAAGUACAAAAUCUCUCAUUUUAAUUUGAAAAGAUAGAUUUGUGAAAAAAAAUGUAUAUAAGAUAUAGAUAAAAUGUGUUUAUGAUAUAAGACAUUACAGGAUAUUAUACGAAUAACGUCUCACAAAUGUAUUACUUAAAAAUAGAUAAUUAAUACAGGUUAAUUAUAUUUAAUCCUGGAAAUGUGUUUAAUCAUAUAUACAUUGAUUUAAUAUGCGCAUGCCAAAAUGUAUGAAUAUGCAUACAUUCAUAUGCAGAAAGAUAGAAGUUUGAUUUAGUCCUUAUUGACACUGUGAUGUUUGAUAUUUUCAUGUUAUGAUAUAUAAAAUACGAAUUACGUGAUAUAUCAGUCGUUUGAAAAUUAUAGGAUGCGAGAAUCAAAAGAGUUAUAGAAAAUAUUUUACAGUAAGCGCGAUAAAAAACGACAAACAGCAAUAGAAUAAUAUUCAAAAAAGAAAAAAUAGUUUUAAUUCUAGUGAUGGUUCUUACUUUUUGUUAAUGUUCUAUAUUCAGAUUUUCAUAAAUUAAAAAUUGAGCAAUUCAAAAAUUUAAAAUAAUAACAUAUUAAUUGUUUAAACAAUUUCUUCUGUGUGGAAUAAUUGAUUAAAUUUUUGAAUUUUUUGAGCCUAUUGCACAUAAAAGACACUAAAAUAAUAAUAGAACGAAAUGAUAAUAAAGUAUUGACAUUUCUAGGAGACAGUGAUUUUAUUUUUAUUUCUUGUCACAAUUUUUCUAUUUCAGAAUGACAUGGAGAUGAAGCUAAAGGUUGAGUAAUAAUAGAAAAAUAGAAGUAUAUUUUUAAAUAUACUUUUAUUUAUAAAUGUUAUUUUCAUUUUUAUCUUAAGUUUUUUAUACUCAUAU